rnacentral:rRNA from 1 species
GCGGCGGACGGGUGAGUAACACGUGGGUAACCUGCCUGUAAGACUGGGAUAACUCCGGGAAACCGGAGCUAAUACCGGAUAGUUCCUUGAACCGCAUGGUUCACGGAUGAAAGACGGUUUCGGCUGUCACUUACAGAUGGACCCGCGGCGCAUUAGCUAGUUGGUGAGGUAACGGCUCACCAAGGCGACGAUGCGUAGCCGACCUGAGAGGGUGAUCGGCCACACUGGGACUGAGACACGGCCCAGACUCCUACGGGAGGCAGCAGUAGGGAAUCUUCCGCAAUGGACGAAAGUCUGACGGAGCAACGCCGCGUGAGUGAUGAAGGUUUUCGGAUCGUAAAGCUCUGUUGUUAGGGAAGAACAAGUGCAAGAGUAACUGCUUGCGCCUUGACGGUACCUAACCAGAAAGCCACGGCUAACUACGUGCCAGCAGCCGCGGUAAUACGUAGGUGGCAAGCGUUGUCCGGAAUUAUUGGGCGUAAAGGGCUCGCAGGCGGUUUCUUAAGUCUGAUGUGAAAGCCCCCGGCUCAACCGGGGGAGGGUCAUUGGAAACUGGGAAACUUGAGUGCAGAAGAGGAGAGUGGAAUUCCACGUGUAGCGGUGAAAUGCGUAGAGAUGUGGAGGAACACCAGUGGCGAAGGCGACUCUCUGGUCUGUAA